AAAGAAAUCGUUAAGGGCGUAUGGCGGAUGCCUAGGCUUUCAGAGGCGACGAAGGACGUGGUAAGCUGCGAAAAGCUGCGGGGAUUGGCACACACGAAUUGAUCCGCAGAUAUCCGAAUGGGGCAACCCGGCAUGUUGAAGACAUGUCACCUCGCAAGAGGAGCAAACCCGGAGAACUGAAACAUCUAAGUACCCGGAGGAAAAGAAAUCGAAGAGAUUCCGUAAGUAGUGGCGAGCGAAAGCGGAUUAGCCCAAAAGUCUUUUUAUGUUUAGAGGAAUGUUCUGGAAAGAACAAUCAUAGAAGGUGAUAAUCCUGUACUCGAAAGGCAUAUAGAGAUGAUAAAUGAGUAGGGCGGGACACGUGAAAUCCUGUCUGAAUAUGGGGGGACCAUCCUCCAAGGCUAAAUACUCCUGAAAGACCGAUAGUGAACAAGUACUGUGAAGGAAAGGUGAAAAGCACUUCGAAUAGAAGGGUGAAAUAGAACCUGAAACCGUACGCCUACAAGCGGUCGGAGCAGCGUAAUGCUGUGACGGCGUGCCUUUUGCAUAAUGAGCCUACGAGUUAAUUUUACUAGCGAGGUUAAGGUAUUAAGUACCGGAGCCGGAGCGAAAGCGAGUCUGAAUAGGGCGCAUAGUUAGUAGGAUUAGACGCGAAACCUUGUGAUCUACCCAUGGGCAGGUUGAAGCUCUGGUAACACAGAGUGGAGGACCGAACCGGUUGACGUUGAAAAGUCUUCGGAUGACCUGUGGGUAGGGGUGAAAGGCCAAUCAAACUGGGAGAUAGCUCGUACUCUCCGAAAUGCAUUUAGGUGCAGCGUCGUAUAUAAGUUUAUUAGAGGUAGAGCUACUGAUUGGAUGCGGGGGUUUCAUCGCCUACCAAUUCCUGACAAACUCCGAAUGCUAAUAAAUGUUCUACGGCAGUGAGGGCAUGGGUGCUAAGGUCCAUGUCCGAGAGGGAAAGAACCCAGACCAACAGCUAAGGUCCCCAAAUAUAUGUUAAGUUGAAGCAACGCGGUUGGACUGCAUUGACAGCUAGGAUGUUGGCUUGGAAGCAGCCAUUCAUUUAAAGAGUGCGUAACAGCUCACUAGUCGAGCGGUCCGGCAUGGAUAAUAAUCGGGCAUAAACAUAUUACCGAAGCUAUGGAUUUAUAUUUUAGAUAUAUCUGGUAGGAGAGCAUUCUAUUUGCGCCGAAGCAGUACUGUGAGGUAUUGUGGAGCGGAUAGAAAAGAAAAUGUAGGCAUAAGUAACGAUAAAGCAGGCGAGAAACCUGCUCACCGAAAGACCAAGGCUUCCUCAGCCAUGCUAAUCAGCUGAGGGUUAGUCGGGACCUAACGCGAACCCGAAAGGGGUAGUGGAUGGACAAUGGGUUAAUAUUCCCAUACUUGCUCACAAUAAAAGGGGACGGUUGGAUGUAGCUGCUGGAGACUGACGGAAUAGUCAAGGCCUAGCCUUCGGGCGAAGCUGCUGUAGUGUAAUCUGAUCCAAGAAAAGCCGAAGUGAAGCAACCCGUACCAAAACCGACACAGGUGGUCGAGGAGAGAAUCCUAAGGUGCUCGAGUGAGUCGUGGCUAAGGAACUAGGCAAAAUAGUCUCGUAACUUCGGAAGAAGAGACGCCAACAGCAAUGUUGGCCGCAGUGAAGAGGCCCAGGCGACUGUUUAUCAAAAACACAGGACUCUGCUAAAUCGAAAGAUGCUGUAUAGGGUCUGACACCUGCCCGGUGCUGGAAGGUUAAGGAAGGUGCUUAGCGUAAGCGAAGGCAUUAACUGAAGCCCCAGUAAACGGCGGCCGUAACUAUAACGGUCCUAAGGUAGCGAAAUUCCUUGUCGGGUAAGUUCCGACCUGCACGAAUGGUGUAACGAUCUGGGCACUGUCUCAGCCACGAGCUCGGUGAAAUUGUAGUAUCGGUGAAGAUGCCGAUUACCCGCAAUGGGACGAAAAGACCCUGUGAACCUUUACUAUAACUUCGUAUUGACUUUGAGUAAGUAAUGUGUAGGAUAGGUGGGAGGCUUUGAAGCAGGCACGCUAGUGUUUGUGGAGCCGACGUUGAAAUACCACCCUUUACUUACUUGGAGCCUAACUUCUUUCAGAAGGACAUUGCGUGGUGGGUAGUUUGACUGGGGUGGUCGCCUCCAAAAGAGUAACGGAGGCUUUCAAAGGUACCCUCAGCACGCUUGGUAACCGUGCGUAGAGUGUAAUGGCAUAAGGGUGCUUGACUGUGAGACCUACAAGUCGAUCAGGUGCGAAAGCAGGACAUAGUGAUCCGGUGGUUCCGUAUGGAAGGGCCAUCGCUCAUAGGAUAAAAGGUACUCCGGGGAUAACAGGCUAGUCUCCCCCAAGAGCUCACAUCGACGGGGAGGUUCGGCACCUCGAUGUCGGCUCGUCACAUCCUGGGGCUGGAGAAGGUCCCAAGGGUUGGGCUGUUCGCCCAUUAAAGUGGCACGCGAGCUGGGUUCAGAACGUCGUGAGACAGUUCGGUCUCUAUCUAUUGCGGGCGUUAGAUGUUUGAGAGGGCUUGAUUCUAGUACGAGAGGACCGAAUUGAACAAACCUCUGGUGUAUCAGUUGUACCGCCAGGUGCACCGCUGAGUAGCUACGUUUGGAAGAGAUAAGCACUGAAAGCAUAUAAGUGCGAAACUCGCCUCAAGAUGAGACAUCUUUUAAGGGUCGUUGUAGAUGACGACGUUGAUAGGCUAUAGGUGUAAAGACAGUAAUGUCAUAGCCAAGUAGUACUAAUUACCCGUAGAUUUAUAGUC
rnacentral:rRNA from 1 species